GUCCCAGUAGCAUAAUGCAUCGCGCGUUGGACUUCUAAUCCAAAGGUCGUAGGUUCGAAUCCCACCUGGGAUG